AACGAACGCUGGCGGCAGGCUUAACACAUGCCAGUCGAACGCCCCGCAAGGGGAGUGGCAGACGGGUGAGUAACGCGUGGGAAUAUACCCUUUUCUACGGAAUAGCUCUGGGAAACUGGAAUUAAUACCGUAUACGCCCUACGGGGGAAAGAUUUAUCGGGGAAGGAUUGGCCCGCGUUGGAUUAGCUAGUUGGUGGGGUAAAGGCCUACCAAGGCGACGAUCCAUAGCUGGUCUGAGAGGAUGAUCAGCCACAUUGGGACUGAGACACGGCCCAAACUCCUACGGGAGGCAGCAGUGGGGAAUAUUGGACAAUGGGCGCAAGCCUGAUCCAGCCAUGCCGCGUGAGUGAUGAAGGCCUUAGGGUUGUAAAGCUCUUUCACCGAUGAAGAUAAUGACGGUAGUCGGAGAAGAAGCCCCGGCUAACUUCGUG
rnacentral:rRNA from 1 species